rnacentral:lncRNA from 1 species
CAAGAACUCCACUUUGAGAAACACCACUGUAGAGAAAGAUCUUUUCUAUUGAACUGCCCCAGCCUAGAUUUGACUCCCACUCGAGCCUUUGGCCUCAAUGACAGCUGUGUUUUCCAACAUGGUACUCGUUUCUCUGCAGGACUCAUGUCUUCCACUAUUUUGUGUCUCCACAACCUGACAAAUACUGCACAGAGUAGGUACUAACAAAGCCCUUUAUUGGUGAUGACAUGAUGCUGCAUCUUGCUUUCACUGAAGACAAUGCCUUCCAGUGGCAUCCUUGUAGAUAAACUAUGGAAGUCUAGGAAGGAUGACAGUAUCCUCUGGUGGGUGUCAAGCUGCUUGAACAAUGGAACUUGGCAAGUGUUAAACGGCUAGGUAGAUGCAAAGGUGGAGAGCCAACCUUCCUGGUCGUGCAUUUUCUUCCUCAGCAUCAAUGAUUUGGGUCAAGACACAGAGAGUAAGCUUAACUAAUUGUCAGGCCUCUGAGCCCAGGCCAGGCCAUCAUAUCCCCUGUGACCUGCACGUAUACAUCCAGAUGGCCUGAAGCAACUGAAGAUACACAAAAGAAGUGAAAAUAGCCUUAACUGAUGACAUUCCACCAUUGUGAUUUGUUUCUGCCUCACCCUAACGAAUGUAUUUUGUAAUCUCCCCCACCCUUAAGAAGGUUCUUUGUAAUUCUCCCCACCUUUAAGAAUGUACUUUGUUGAGAUCCGCCCCCUGCCCACAAAACAUUGCUCCUAACUCCACCGCCUAUCCCAAAACCUGUAAGAACUAAUGAUAAUCCCACCACCCUUUGCUGACUCUCUUUUCAGACUCAGCUCGCUUGCACCCAGGUGAAAUAAACAGCCUUGUUGCUCACACAA